rnacentral:rRNA from 1 species
UACGUAGGGACCAAGCGUUGUUCGGAUUUACUGGGCGUAAAGGGCGCGUAGGCGGCGCGACAAGUCACUUGUGAAAUCUCUGGGCUUAACUCAGAACGGCCAAGUGAAACUGUUGUGCUAGAGUGCAGAAGGGGCAAUCGGAAUUCUCGGUGUAGCGGUGAAAUGCGUAGAUAUCGAGAGGAACACCAGAGGUGAAGACGGGUUGCUGGGCUGACACUGACGCUGAGGCGCGAAAGCCAGGGGAGCAAACGGG